rnacentral:tRNA from 1 species
CUAAGGAUGAUCCUUCAGCGAGCUCACGCUCACUAUCGGAUCGUUUUAGAAACAUCAGUGGCCAACAGAUCGCCAGAUCGUUGAGCUGCAUUGGCGGGAUUUCGCCGUCUUCGUUUCUCUUUCUUCGCGGACGAACACGCGCCGGGGCUGCGCUGUGCGAUUGCAUUCGGCGCUGGUCGCCGAUGCAUGCACGCAAGACCCUAGUCCUGAUAAGGAUAGCGUUAGGGGCUUGUAGCUCAGUUGGUUAGAGCGCGCGCUUGAUAAGCGUGAGGUCGGAAGUUCAAGUCUUCCCAGGCCCACCACGCUUCGCCGUUGGCUUUGCGUGGCACCGCCACGCGAGACAAGAAGCGAAGCGUGUCCGGCAUAGCCCCUCGGGCGGCGCCGGACUUAAGAGAGGCGCUUCGUCUUCUGGUUACGGGGCCAUAGCUCAGCUGGGAGAGCGCGUGCUUUGCAAGCAUGAGGUCGUCGGUUCGAUCCCGUCUGGCUCCACCAGCCUCCGCAGGCUUCGCCUGCUUCGGCUCGGCAAGCCAGCCGGUAGCGAAGGCUGCCGCGCCGUAGCCGAAAGGCGAAGGCGGGCUACUUCUGAUCCCGUAACCAUCAUCGUCCGCGAAACAUCACUUCGCACUCAUUAGUCCGGAUGGACAAUGAGCUGCGUGUUUUCUGACAUCGUAAAGAGGAGAUCGAUCCGAGUUGGGUCGUGCAGCAAAUCGUUGCGCGAGCCUUCAUUAUCUCCGGAUCAUUUCGGCGCUCGCGCGCCUUUCAGUGCGGCUCACAAGGUUGCACCGGGAAGAUGGGCGAGUUGUAAAUGAUCCUUUUAGCGAAGCUUUGACCGCCUCGCUAUCGGAACGAUCUUACGAAGCAAGCUGGUCUUUCUAGUCAAUGUCCGGCUGUACGUAGCAUUCAUCGAGGGUGCGCGCCGCAAGGCAAUCGUACAGACAACAUUCUGCCGAGUGUGUGGACAUUGAUAAUGAGAGC